UCAGAGAUUUCCUCAGUGGUGUCCACCAAAUAGAGGAAUCUACCAGUACCCGCUGGCUGCGAGGUUGGUUGGAUUGCAGCAGCAGAGUAGGGAUCAGCAUUAGGCCAGGGUCCUGCAUUGGAGGGUUUCGAUCGACUGGUUACGGUUCGAUGAGUUUGCAUGGAGAGUCUACAAUG